rnacentral:misc_RNA from 1 species
AAGUCGUAACAAGGUAACCGUAGGUGAACCUGCGGUUGGAUCAUUAAUAAAACUAGAAGGUCUUCAGACCUCUCUAACAUCUUGUGAACUGUUUAUGUCUCUGGCAGGCUCUUGGGUCUGCCGAGUAAACUUUGUAUUAUAUUUAGUCUAAAAAUUCAUAAAAGUAAUUAAAACAACUUUUGACAACGGAUCUCUAGGCUCUC